rnacentral:rRNA from 1 species
AACUUGAGAGUUUGAUCCUGGCUCAGAACGAACGCUGGCGGCAGGCCUAAUACAUGCAAGUCGAACGAACCCCUCGGGGUGAGUGGCGCACGGGUGAGUAACACGUGGGAAUCUACACUAGGGUACGGAAUAACUCACCGAAAGGUGUGCUAAUACCGUAUAACAUCUCCGGAUCAAAGAUUUAUCGCCCUAGAAUGAGCCCGCGUUUGAUUAGAUUGUUGGUGAGGUAACGGCUCACCAAGUCGACGAUCAAUAGCUGGUCUGAGAGGAUGAUCAGCCACACUGGUACUGAGACACGGACCAGACUCCUACGGGAGGCAGCAGUAAGGGAUAUUGGACAAUGGAGGAAACUCUGAUCCAGCCAUGCCGCGUGAGUGAAGAAGGCCUUCGGGUUGUAAAACUCUUUCAGUAGUGAAGAUGAUGACGGUAACUACAGAAGAAGCUCCGGCUAACUUCGUGCCAGCAGCCGCGGUAAUACGAAGGGGGCGAGCGUUGUUCGGAAUCACUGGGCUUAAAGCGUAUGUAGGCGGACUUGCAAGUCAGAAGUGAAAGCCUGGGGCUCAACCCCAGAACUGCUUUUGAAACUGCAAAUCUAGUGUCCCGGAGAGGUUGGCGGAAUUCCGAGUGUAGAGGUGAAAUUCGUAGAUAUUCGGAGGAACACCAGUGGCGAAGGCGGCCANNNNNNNNNNNNNNNNNNNNNNNNNNNNNNNNNNNNNNNNNNNNNNNNNNNNNNNNNNNNNNNNNNNNNNNGUGGGGAGCAAACAGGAUUAGAUACCCUGGUAGUCCACGCUGUAAACGAUGUGUGCUAGUUGUCGGGGUCUUUAGGCUUCGGUGACGCAGAGAAAUCAUUAAGCACACCGCCUGGGGAGUACGGUCGCAAGAUUAAAACUCAAAGGAAUUGACGGGGACCCGCACAAGCGGUGGAGCAUGUUCUUUAAUUCGAAGCAACGCGAAGAACCUUACCAACCCUUGACAUCCCGAUCGGGAAUUAGAGAGAUCUUUUUCUUCAGUUAGGCUGGAUCGGUGACAGGUGCUGCAUGGCUGUCGUCAGCUCGUGUCGUGAGAUGUUUGGUUAAGUCCAGCAACGAGCGCAACCCCUAUCGUCUGUUGCCAGUAUUAAGUUAGGCACUCUGACGAGACUGCCGGUGAUAAGCCGGAGGAAGGUGGGGACGACGUCAAGUCAUCAUGGCCCUUACGGGUUGGGCUAGAAACGUGCUACAAUGGUAGUGACAGUGGGCAGCAAGGUCGCGAGGCCGAGCUAAUCUCCAAAAGCUAUCUCAGUUCGGAUUGUACUCUGCAACUCGAGUGCAUGAAGUCGGAAUCGCUAGUAAUCGUGGAUCAGCAUGCCACGGUGAAUACGUUCCCGGGUCUUGUACACACCGCCCGUCACGUCAUGGGAGUUGGCUCUACCCGAAGAUGGUGUGCUAACCUAUGGAGGCAGCCAGCCACGGUAGGGUCAGCGACUGGGACGAAGUCGUAACAAGGUAGCCGUAGGGGAACCUGCGGCUGGAUCACCUCCUUUCUAAGG